rnacentral:rRNA from 1 species
AACGCUAGCUACAGGCUUAACACAUGCAAGUCGAGGGGAAACGACAUCGAAAGCUUGCUUUUGAUGGGCGUCGACCGGCGCACGGGUGAGUAACGCGUAUCCAACCUGCCCACCACUUGGGGAUAACCUUGCGAAAGUAAGACUAAUACCCAAUGACGUCUCUAGAAGACAUCUGAAGGAGAUUAAAGAUUUAUCGGUGAUGGAUGGGGAUGCGUCUGAUUAGCUUGUUGGCGGGGUAACGGCCCACCAAGGCGACGAUCAGUAGGGGUUCUGAGAGGAAGGUCCCCCACAUUGGAACUGAGACACGGUCCAAACUCCUACGGGAGGCAGCAGUGAGGAAUAUUGGUCAAUGGGCGAGAGCCUGAACCAGCCAAGUAGCGUGCAGGAUGACGGCCCUAUGGGUUGUAAACUGCUUUUAUAAGGGAAUAAAGUGAGUCUCGUGAGACUUUUUGCAUGUACCUUAUGAAUAAGGACCGGCUAAUUCCGUGCCAGCAGCCGCGGUAAUACGGAAGGUCCGGGCGUUAUCCGGAUUUAUUGGGUUUAAAGGGAGCGUAGGCCGGAGAUUAAGCGUGUUGUGAAAUGUAGACGCUCAACGUCUGCACUGCAGCGCGAACUGGUUUCCUUGAGUACGCACAAAGUGGGCGGAAUUCGUGGUGUAGCGGUGAAAUGCUUAGAUAUCACGAAGAACUCCGAUUG